GGAGGAAAAGAAACCAACAGGGAUUGCCCUAGUAACGGCGAGUGAAGCGGCAACAGCUCAAAUUUGAAACCUGGCGCUUGCGUCCGGAUUGUAAUUUGUAGAGGAUGCUUCUGGGCAGCGGCCGUUCUAAGUUCCUUGGAACAGGACGUCAUAGAGGGUGAGAAUCCCGUAUGUGACCGGCGCGCACCCUCCACGUAGCUCCUUCGACGAGUCGAGUUGUUUGGGAAUGCAGCUCUAAAUGGGAGGUAAAUUUCUUCUAAAGCUAAAUAUUGGCCAGAGACCGAUAGCGCACAAGUAGAGUGAUCGAAAGAUGAAAAGCACUUUGGAAAGAGAGUUAAAAAGCACGUGAAAUUGUUGAAAGGGAAGCGCUUCCAACCAGACUCCGCGGCGGUGUUCCGCCGGUCUUCUGACCGGUCCACUCGCCGCCGUGGGGCCAACAUCGUCUGGGGCCGCCGGAUAAGACCGGAGGAAUGUAGCUCAUUGAGUGUUAUAGCCUCCGGUGAUGCGGCGCGUCCCGGGCGAGGUCCGCGCUUCGGCAAGGAUGUUGGCGUAAUGGUUGGCAGCGGCCCGUCUUGAAACACGGACCAAGGAGUCUAACAUCUAUGCGAGUGUUCGGGUGUCAAACCCCUACGCGCAAUGAAAGUGAACGGAGGUGGGAGCUUCGGCGCACCAUCGACCGAUCCUGAUGUCCUCGGAUGGAUUUGAGUAAGAGCAUAGCUGUUGGGACCCGAAAGAUGGUGAACUAUGCCUGAAUAGGGUGAAGCCAGAGGAAACUCUGGUGGAGGCUCGCAGCGGUUCUGACGUGCAAAUCGAUCGUCAAAUUUGGGUAUAGGGGCGAAAGACUAAUCGA
rnacentral:rRNA from 2 species